rnacentral:rRNA from 1 species
CCUACGGGAGGCAGCAGUGAGGAAUAUUGGUCAAUGGACGAGCGUCUGAACCAGCCAAGUAGCGUGAAGGAUGACUGCCCUAUGGGUUGUAAACUUCUUUUAUAUGGGAAUAAAACGUUCCACGUGUGGGCUUUUGUAUGUACCCUAUGAAUAAGGAUCGGCUACCUCCGUGCCAGCAGCCGCGUUAAUACGGAGGAUCCGAGCGUUAUCCGGAUUUAUUGGGUUUAAAGGGAGCGUAGGUGGAUUGUUAAGUCAGUUGUGAAAGUUUGCGGCUCAACCGUAAAAUUGCAGUUGAAACUGGCAGUCUGGAGUACAGUAGAGGUGGGCGGAAUUCGUGGUGUAGCGAUGAAAUGCUUAGAUAUCACGAAGAACUCCGAUUGCGAAGGCAGUUCACUGGACUGCAACUGACACUGAGGCUCGAAAGUGUGGGUAUCAAACAGGAUUAGAUACCCCUGUAGUC